rnacentral:rRNA from 1 species
UACGAAGGGGGCUAGCGUUGUUCGGAUUAACUGGGCGUAAAGGGUGCGUAGGCGGGUUUUUAAGUCAGGGGUGAAAUCCCGAGGCUCAACCUCGGAACUGCCUUUGAUACUGGAAAUCUUGAGUCUGGGAGAGGUGAGUGGAACUGCGAGUGUAGAGGUGAAAAUUCGUAGAUAUUCGCAAGAACACCAGUGGCGAAGGCGGCUCACUGGCCCGAUACUGACGCUGAGGCGCGAAAGCGUGGGGAGCAAACAGG